ensembl:lncRNA PCAT1 prostate cancer associated transcript 1
GAGGCCCCAGAGAGAUUCCAAAGGCCUGAGGACUUGGCACAAAAUGACAACACUAAUUUCCUGAAUGCUUGUGUCAGCUUUUUGGUGACAAGAAAGGAUGAGUAAGACACUAUUAUGGUUUAAAGUACAGCGAGAGAAUAGUAAAUUUACGAAGGCAGAAGUGAAAAGUAGAAAGCGAAGAUGAUAUAGGAAUUUACCAGCUAGACAGAAGAGACAGGGAAAGAAACUGGCGUUGAUCAUACUGAACGCCAUCAUGAAGGAGGUUUGAGAUACUGCUUUUUCCUCUCUGUGAAGUCCUGAGUCCAUGGAAAGGCCGAGGGGAGAAACAUCGGCAGCAACAUGGCAGCUCUAUUAGUGAUGGAAACUGGAUUGGGAAAUGCGAUAUCACAUCUGUCACCUAGAGGUUUUGGCAACAAUAUUUCGGCCUAGAAUUCAGCCCAGCACAUUCAGUGUACUGUGCUUACCCAGCCUCUGGCAGAGUGGG